CACUUCUAAGGAAGGCAGCAGGCGCGCAAAUUACCCAAUCCUGACUCAGGGAGGUAGUGACAAGAAAUAACAAUAAACCGGCUUAUGCCGGUUUAAUUGGAAUGAGUACAAUUUAAACAUCUUAACGAGGAACAAUUGGAGGGCAAGUCUGGUGCCAGCAGCCGCGGUAAUUCCAGCUCCAAUAGCGUAUACUAAAGUUGUUGCAGUUAAAAAGCUCGUAGUUGGAUUUCUGUGGGGACGGAGCGGCCGGCCGCAACACGCGGUUCGAGCUAGCGCUUUCCCUACAUCCUGCCGCGAACCGUGCUACCAUUAAUUUGGUGGCGCCGGGGAUCGGCUCGAUUACUUUGAGAAAAAUAGAGUGUUCAAAGCAGGCCACAUGCCUUGAAUAAGUUAGCAUGGAAUAAUAACUAAGGACUUCGGUUCUAUUUUGUUGGUGUUCGGGACUGAAGUAAUGAUUGAUAGGGACAGUUGGGGCGGUCUGUAUUCCAAAGCGAGAGGUGAAAUUCUUAGACCUUCGGAAGACAAACAGCUGCGAAAGCGUUCCGCAAGGAUGUUCCCUUUGAUCAAGAACGAAAGUUGGGGGAUCGAAGACGAUCAGAUACCGUCGUAGUCUCAACUAUAAACUAUACCAGCUAGGGAUCGGCCAACGUUAUUUUAUACCGACUUGGUCGGCACCUUAUGAGAAAUCAAAGCAUCUGGGUUCCGGGGGGAGUAUGGUCGCAAGGCUGAAACUUAAAGGAAUUGACGGAAGGGCACCACCAGCCGUGGAGCCUGUGGCUUAAUUUGACUCAACACGGGAAAACUUACCAGGUCCAGACAUAGUAAGGAUUGACAGAUUGAUAGCUCUUUCUUGAUUCUGUGGGUGGUGGUGCAUGGCCGUUCUUAGUUGGUGGAGUGAUUUGUCUGGUUAAUUCCGUUAACGAACGAGACCCCAGCCUGCUAAAUAGCGCGCGUGAGCUUUGCUCGCGGCGAGCUUCUUAGAGGGACUAUGAUGCGCGAUAGCACAUGGAAGUUUGGGGCAAUAACAGGUCUGUGAUGCCCUUAGAUGUUCUGGGCCGCACACGGGCUACACUGGCGCCUGCAACGAGCAUAUCAGCUGGCCCGAGAGGGUCUUGGCUAAUCUUUUGAACCGGCGCCGUGCUUGGGAUUGACCUUUGCAAUUGUUGGUCAUGCAACGAGGAAUGCCUUGUAAACGCGAGUCAUCAGCUCGCAUUGAAUACGUCCCUGCCCUUUGUACACACCGCCCGUCGCUCCUACCGAUGAAUGUUCCGAUGAAAUUUUCGGAGAGUGCCUGUGAACUUGGCUCUGCCUUGCGAACGGGAGGCUCAAAGUCACUUAAAUCUGAACAUUUCGAGG
rnacentral:rRNA from 1 species